UACGUAGGGUGCAAGCGUUAUCCGGAAUUAUUGGGCGUAAAGAGCUCGUAGGCGGUUUGUCACGUCUGCUGUGAAAACUGGAGGCUCAACCUCCAGCCUGCAGUGGGUACGGGCAGACUAGAGUGCGGUAGGGGAGAUUGGAAUUCCUGGUGUAGCGGUGGAAUGCGUAGAUAUCUGGAGGAACACCGGUGGCGAAGGCGCAUCCUGGACCGGCAUUGACGCUGAGGAGCGAAAGCCAGGGGAGCAAACGGGG
rnacentral:rRNA from 1 species